UAUCUCUGUAGAGUCUGCAUAUCAAUAAGCGGAGGAAAAGAAACUAACUAAGGAUUCCCUCAGUAACGGCGAGUGAAGCGGGAAGAGCUCAAAUUUGAAAUCUUCAAGGGUUUACCUUUACGAAUUGUAGUUUAAAGAAGUGUUUUCUGUUGAGUGUUUUGGUAAAAGUUCUUUGGAAUAGGACAUCAUAGAGGGUGAGAAUCCCGUAUUUGACCUUUACUUUCAACUUUGUGAUACACUUUCAAAGAGUCGGAUUGUUUGGGAAUGCAGUCCAAAAUGGGUGGUAAAUUUCAUCUAAAGCUAAAUAUUGGCGAGAGACCGAUAGCGAACAAGUACCGUGAGGGAAAGAUGAAAAGAACUUUGAAAAGAGAGUUAAACAGUACGUGAAAUUGUCAAAAGGGAAGCGUUUGACACCAGUGUUGUUUUUCUGAAAAUCAAUUAAAGAACUGUUUAUGCUAAGCUGUUUAGACUUUAUCAGCUAUCUGUUUAGUUUUGAGCUUUUCUUUAAUGCACUUUUCAGUUAACAAGUCAACAUCAAUUUCUUUUGCUGUAAAAAAGCUUGAGGAAGGUGGCUUGAGAUUCGUCUUAAGUGUUUAUAGCCUCUUGCCUAUGCAGUCGGAGAGAUUGAGGUCUGCAGCGUAGAUCCUUCGGGGCUAAAUGCAUUUGUGCUAAGUUAUAGCAUUUUAUAGACAACUUGUUGACUAUGAUUUGUCUUGUAGCUUACUCGCUUAUGUUAUUUUACCUACGCUUAGGAUGUUGACGAUCAGCUGAGCGCG
rnacentral:rRNA from 1 species